AAGAUCCCCAUAGCGUGAUAGAGAGCUUGUGCAGUUCGGUUCGAGCUAUGACGGACGAAACAGCACAUUGACAGAGUAGUGUUGUUAGUAGGAGAACCGGAAAUUUAGUGCACCAGGUCCGGAAAAGUCCCCGCUUUUGACUGCUACGACUGUGGAAUUGUGGAAUUGUUAGGAUUUUGACUAUAGGUUAAGGCUAGCAGCAUUUCCUUAUUAACCAUUUUUAUGUCCGUAAUAAAUAAAAAAUACUGAUUCAGAUAAUUGUACCCUUUAUCAUAACAAACACUUUAAAUUGGUUUAUGAUUAGCAUCAUCGUAUGCUUUCUGUCCAGAUUUAAAGUCUUUCAGGUAAUCCAGAUCCAGCAUAAUAAAAUUUCAACUGUGUGACAUGUUGAUGAUCACAAUGUUCAAAUUAUAUGAUGACUAAUCGCUGCCAUUACUUGCCCUCCUCUUAUCAAUAUCCCGAGGUAAUCGAAUAAUCAUCGUGCAACAACAUCACCAACAGCCUCAUGAGACAUUCAGUAGAGAGGCCGUCUAAUUAAUCUGAAUAUUUUGUGGUUUGUUUUGCCAAUAUUCCCAGGGUAGUAACAGGGACGUGAAAUUGUGUCUAAUGUGAUUAUUAUAAUGCUCGCUCCCGCGAAAAGCAUUAUCAAAUGAGAACAGCUGUCGCCAGAAUAUUAAAUCUUUAUUAAAUAUAUAAAAAAAAGUUGCUUCCGUUGGCGGUGUCCUUUACAGUGAUGGUUGAAAUGCUUUUUCGAAAUUCUGAGAUCAUCAUGGGAAUAAUGGCAAAGCUUGGAAAAAA